rnacentral:rRNA from 1 species
UUACCUGGCCUUGACAUACUAAGAACUUUCCAGAGAUGGAUUGGUGCCUUCGGGAACUUAGAUACAGGUGCUGCAUGGCUGUCGUCAGCUCGUGUCGUGAGAUGUUGGGUUAAGUCCCGCAACGAGCGCAACCCUUUUCCUUAUUUGCCAGCGGGUUAAGCCGGGAACUUUAAGGAUACUGCCAGUGACAAACUGGAGGAAGGCGGGGACGACGUCAAGUCAUCAUGGCCCUUACGGCCAGGGCUACACACGUGCUACAAUGGUCGGUACAAAGGGUUGCUACCUCGCGAGAGGAUGCUAAUCUCAAAAAGCCGAUCGUAGUCCGGAUCGCAGUCUGCAACUCGACUGCGUGAAGUCGGAAUCGCUAGUAAUCGCGGGUCAGAAUGCCGCGGUGAAUACGUUCCCGGGCCUUGUACACACCGCCCGUCACACCAUGGGAGUUUGUUGCACCAGAAGUAGGUAGUCUAACCGCAAGGAGGACGCUUACCACGGUGUGGCCGAUGACUGGGGUGAAGUCGUAACAAGGUAAGCGUAGAUGA